AGGUAGAGCUGGAAAACAAUCGAUGGCACUAUCGAUACCAUCGAUGUUUUUUAAAUUUUCUAAACAUCGAUGGCUCAUAGACCACUAUCGAUUGUUUUUAAUUGUAUCUGUGCAUUGGAGCAACGUUAAACUUGGACUAACUUGAAGGCGAACGGUGGUGUUGGCUUUAAGCGUGGUGAUAAAAAAUGGACAAAUUUGUGAAAAUAACAUCAAUAUCAACUGGCGAUAAAGAAAAUGUAGUUGAGGAUGACAUACAGCAGCACACAAAUAAACGCAAAAGGGAACGUCGAUGGUUUGG